rnacentral:rRNA from 1 species
UACGUAGGGCGCAAGCGUUAAUCGGAAUUACUGGGCGUAAAGCGUGCGCAGGCGGUUUUGUAAGUCUGUCGUGAAAGCCCCGGGCUCAACCUGGGAAUUGCGAUGGAGACUGCAAGGCUUGAAUCUGGCAGAGGGGGGUAGAAUUCCACGUGUAGCAGUGAAAUGCGUAGAGAUGUGGAGGAACACCGAUGGCGAAGGCAGCCCCCUGGGUCAAGAUUGACGCUCAUGCACGAAAGCGUGGGGAGCAAACAGG